rnacentral:rRNA from 1 species
UGGGGAAUCUUGGACAAUGGGGGCAACCCUGAUCCAGCAAUGCCGCGUGUGUGAAGAAGGCCCUAGGGUUGUAAAGCACUUUCAAUUGGGAAGAAAAGUUCCGGGUUAAUACCCCGUGGACCAUGACGGUACCUUUAGAAGAAGCACCGGCUAACUCCGUGCCAGCAGCCGCGGUAAUACGGAGGGAACUAGCGUUGUUCGGAAUUACUGGGCGUAAAGCGCGCGUAGGCGGCUUGGUAAGUAGAGGGUGAAAUCCCGGAGCUCAACUCCGGAACUGCCCCCUAAACUGCCGAGCUAGAAUCCUGGAGAGGUGAGUGGAAUUCCUAGUGUAGAGGUGAAAUUCGUAGAUAUUCGGUGGAACACCAGUGGCGAAGGCGACUCGCUGGUCCGGUACUGACGCUGAGGUGCGAAAAGCGUGGGGAGCAAACAGGAUUAGAUACCCUGGUAGUCCACGCCGUAAAACGAUGAGUGCUAGUCGUCGGCAGGCAUGCCUGUCGGUGACGCAGCUAACGCAUUAAGCACUCCGCCUGGGGAGUACGGCCGCAAGGUUAAAACUCAAAUGAAUUGACGG